AUGGAGUACUUCCUCAGUCUUUUAUACAAUAUUUAAUUCUUCGUCUUAUUUAAUAUUUUUUUUGUGAUUAGUAUUUUUUGUUGUUGUUAGAUGAUAAAACAUGAAUAGUACUUUAUGCGUGAAUAAUUUUUUAAACAUGUUUUCAUAAUUUUUUUAAAUAAGACGGACGUUCAAAUGUUGAAUACGGAAAU
rnacentral:pre_miRNA from 1 species